GCAGCCGCGGUAAUUCCAGCUCCAAUAGCGUAUAUUAAAGUUGUUGCAGUUAAAAAGCUCGUAGUUGAAUUUCGGGAUUGACACAUCGGUCGUGCCUUAAGGGGUAUGAACUGGUGUAGUCAAUUUCUCACCUUCUGGAGAACCGCGAUGCCCUUAAUUGGGUGUCGCGGGGAACCAGGACCUUUACUUUGAAAAAAUUAGAGUGUUUAAAGCAGGCAUUUUGCUUGAAUACAUUAGCAUGGAAUAAUAAAAUAGGACGGCAUGAUUCUAUUUUGUUGGUUUCUAGGAUCACCGUAAUGAUUAAUAGGGAUAGUUGGGGGCAUUAGUAUUCAAUUGUCAGAGGUGAAAUUCUUGGAUUUAUUGAAGACUAACUACUGCGAAAGCAUUUGCCAAGGAUGUUUUCAUUAAUCAAGAACGAAAGUUAGGGGAUCGAAGACGAUCCGAUACCGUCGUAGUCUUAACCAUAAACUAUGCCGACUAGGAAUCAGACGAUGUUAAUUUUUUAAUG
rnacentral:rRNA from 1 species